CUUUUUUGGGACAGGAAUAGUUGCAAAAAUUUUACUGUGAAGGACUGACAUUGGCAGGGGAUGGGGAAAGUUUUAGUUGAAGAAAGAAAUGUUUUGAUGGCUCCGGUUGGUAGUUUCAAACAAGAAAUGAGUGGUGACUUCUGGAAGAUUGGUGACCAUAUGAAUAAUUUUUCAAUUGGAAACUUUGAGCAAUUUAAGAAUAAGGUUUCUACUUUCUAGGAUUUGAACAGAGUGCAGAAGGACCAAGUAUAGAUGUCGAGAUAUAGAAUCUUAACUUAGAGAAUUAUUUUAGACUACUUAGUAAUAGUGUUCUUGACAUCAUAAUUAGGAUAUAAAUAAAACCUUGGACUAUGGCACAUUAAAUACCGAAAGACAAAACUACCCUUGAGUCUAAUAAUAUAAUAAAUCCUAUGUAAAUAAACUCUAAAAGCUUAAUAUCUCAUUGUAAAAAGUGCAAAACUUGAUUAGCCUGUAGGACCUAUUUUCUCUUGGUAUUGUGGUUGGCAUGGUUCGUCAGAAAAAUCUCGAAUUAAUUGGAAAUCUAUAGUUUUGGCAGACUUUAUUUUUAAGGAUAGAGAGAACACUAGAAUUUUUGAGGGAGUGGCUACGGACUUUGAGCUUUUGUGGGAUUGCAUUUUGUUGAGUUUUUUGGAUGCUUGCUAGUAAAGAGUUUGGGGUUGUCCUAUAAUUUAGGGAACUGGUGUAUUGUGGUGUAGUUUUGGGUAUUUGUAAUUGUUGCUCUUAUUUAGAGAACGUUCUGUCGUCUCUUUUGUACUUUUUAUAUUUCUCGAUUAAGUUCCCAGUUACUCAUCACACUUGAGUGCUAAAACUUGUUCCAAGUACACUAAUGAAAGAAUCCCAGAUUUGCCCUUCUUUUCCUCCAUAUAUUAUGCAUCAAGGACAAGAAGAAUAACAUUGAAGGUGAUAUUGGUAUCAAUCAUCAGGAGAAGCUUUAAAGUUUUGAAUUGCAGAGACUCCUGGUGUAAUAUAUAAUAAAGUCUAAUGACUACAUACCUAUUAACUAUAUAUUAUUUUUAUUAUAUCUAGAAUUCAGAAUAAUUAAAUUAAAUUGACCCAUUAAGACCUGAGGCCCAAACUAUGGGAUGUAUACUGAUAUAUUAACAUUGUUAGAACAACUAUUAACUUUUAGAACAUAGGAAUUUCUCAACCAAAUAACUGCUACUUCUUGCUAAAUUGUAAUACUAGAAGAAAGCUGCUACAAAACGAUGUCUCAAUGAAGUCUGUACUCUUCCUUUUCCUGCUCAUGAAUUCUAUGCUAACUGUAUGCUAGAGAAAAGAUAUAUCGUUGAUCCUGGAUAUCAUAGUUGCUCUUACAUGGGUACUCUGCAGGAAUCUCGUCAUUGUUUUGCACAAGUUUUUUAGAAGCUCAAAAUACCAACCAAUUGGUCGUGCUGGUUAGGAUCAUUAUAUGACAGGAAAACAGAACUGACAAAAAGAUAGUCUGUCCAUAUUACUUACCCUAUUAUUGUUAAUACUGUCUUGGCUUUCAAACUUCCUCCAUGAGGAUUCUUCACUUUUGUGCCAAGUAGAAUUAUUAUUCAUUUGGACUCCAUAGAAUUUGUGAAUAAUUCAUGUUGACAAUUUUUUCCAAUUAAGACAAAUUUUCGUGCCUUAACAUGACUACAACUUCCCAUCCACGGUUAAAUAUAGUAUUUCUGAUGGUGUCUUGACUAUUAUCAUUUGUAGCCAUGAAAGUACGUUCGUCAGUGAAGAAAAUGUGUGAGUUUUGUCGGACGAUCAAACGACGUGGACGAGUUUAUGUAUUAUGCACUUCCAAUCCCAAACAUAAACAGCGUCAGGGCUUCUCAACAUUUGCCUAUGAAGGUCCAUUACCUCCAACGUAUGUAUCUGAGUUUCUUUCUUCAUUUCUGUUUACAAGUACAUGCAUGUGUACUUUUAAGAUUUUCAGAAAUGAAAUGUCUGUUCAUUACACCAUUGUUGAUACAAUUCGCUUAUUUUUAAACUUCUAUAUGGAAUCAUGAUCAAGUAUCCUGACAUGACUGUUUGAAAUACAUAAAUGCAGCGAAAAUAAGGAUUUAAAAACGUUUAAACCCACGUAUUUGUUCAUGAUUAGCUACUGAGGAUGUAAAUCUGUACAUAGAUGGGGAGUUCACCUCAAACAUUUUUAUCUUUUAUUUAAUUUUUCUCAUAAAACAAUCCCUGCAGCGACGGGAUUCUAACAUUAUCCAUAAUAGAAGCCAUAGGUAGCUGAAAGGUCCUCCAAUGAACUAAGGGAGAAAAAGGAGUACAAAUCUGUGGUGACUCAAACCCACUUGUUUGGAUAUGGGAAUAGUUGGUGUAAAAAAUUUUGGAAUAGUUUUGCUAUCUUUUUGUUUCCUUGGUGUUUAAAAUUUUCCAUCAUGUCUUAACUAUGUACAUAUAUGUUAUAUGAAAGGUGUGUAUGUGUGUUAACCAACCAAUUUCUCGAAAUAAACAAAUCCAAUUUAUUUAAUGUCCAAAUUGACGACUUAUUUACAGUUUACCCUAGGAAAUCUCUCAUCCAUUUAAAUUCUAAUAUCCAAUUUAUAUAACUGAUGACUAAACAAAUGGUGAUGAAUUAACAGUUUUCUGAACUUUUCCCCUAGAGGUUACACUAUAAUUUGAUCCUUCAACCAUAUGAUGUCCCAGUUGGAUAAGAUCAUGGAUUCAUGGUUAUAUCUAUGUCUUAAUUCUAGCCAAUGUAAUCAAAACUGGACCGGAACAGCUGGUUAGCCUGAAAAAGGGGAACCUAGGUUGGAAACAGGUCGGGCUGUACACUUAAAACCAUUUCAUUACAAACGGUGUCAAAACUGGUGAACCGGCCAGGUCAAUCAAGAACCUCUUGACCUGAACUUAGGGAUGGCAAUCAGGCUCGUCGGCUUGGGCAGCACGUGGCUCGGCUCGGGCCGAGCCCCAUUUUGGGGACACGGGCUUUGCCCGAGCUGGCCCGUGAGCUCGCGAGCUUUUAAAAAAAAAGAAAUUAAAUAAAUAAAUUAAAUUUGCUGCCUAGUUUAGGAGCAGGAAGAGGAGGGGGGGGGGGGGGGAGAGCCUGCCCGGCUCGGCCCGUAAAAAGCCCAAGCAAAAGCUCGGGCCGAGCCUAUUUUUGGCUCGAACCUGCAAAAAAGCUCGGCCCUUUUAACCGGGCUGAGCUCGAGCCGAAAUUAUAGGCUCGCUAGUCGGCUCGGCCCGGUUCGCUUACAUCCCUACCUGAACUUGGUUUUACCGGUUCAAGAGUUUUGAAAUUUCCUUAUCUUUUGCAAUUUGAUCUUCGUCUAUAGAUAUAUUCUUCAAGUUUCCAUUCUAACCAUGUUCCCAAAUGAAAGGAGUUAAUGUAGUCCUAUGACUCAGCCCAUCCUUGUCACCAUUACAUAUAUGUAUUUCGUAAAUGUUAUUUGUUUCCAAAUAUCUUUAUUCUUGUCAAAAAAUUCUUCGCCUGCAGCCACGAGAUUAACGUCUAAUUCAUUGAAUUUUUAGAAAGGAUGUCUUAGGGUUUUCUGCUUCCUUCAUCACCCGAUUCACCUGCCACCUCACUCUCCAUGGUUGUCCUAGUGUUAAGGGUUCACUUUUCGAGGUGAAAUAUUUGGACUUCAGUCAAGCUGCUGGUCCUUAAUGAUGUUGCAUUUUGGGUUAGGGCCCUGGCCUUUCAUUUUGACACCAUAGUCCAUACUUCCUUUUAAUAACCUAUGCAUCUCCCUAAUUAUUAAGUUGGACAAUCUUGCACUUAAAGUUAAAUAUUAAUUCACCUAUUUAUAUAUAUUAUAACAUCGGUUUGACCGUGAUUAAACCCUUUGACACUUGAUCCUUUAGCUAUCCUGGAUCAGGGUCUGGUCUGGUUUCAAAACAUUGAUUCUAGCAUAUGACUGACCCAAGUGAUAUGUGCUUUUCUAAUUUCCUCCCAACCUUCGUCAUGAGUUUCAAUGAGUAAUAAGAUAUCUUAUUUUAUGCUCACAUGCCUCAUAUGGCCAACAAUUGUCAUCACCAUAAUCCUAACAUCAUGGCUUACCAUAAGAAUCCAUACACAAGACAACGAUGAUACAUCAGGUUCAAGAUUCACAUACAUAACUAUAACAUAGGACGUGUCAUUGACAACGAUUGAAUUCUAUUGACAUGUUCUGAUACUAGCACACGCAUGAUUUUUUGACAUCUCAUGUCGAUGAUAUGAAAUUUAUGAUUUAUAUAGUGUACAUUGUAUGCUAGUUUUCCUGGAAUAUGAGUACCCUGCUGAUAAUCCAACAACUAAUAAAUGUUGAGAAUCUAAGGAAUAAAUGUUUUAUACUGUUAACAUCUUUAAAUAUGGUUAAGGUACACAUACAUCUCAAGUCAAUUUCCCUAAAUUGCCGUACUCGAUCUCAAAGAUACAUAUAGAAUUUUGCAGAAAGCCGUAUUCGUAUUCGAUGAAAGUCGUACGUACGGCUCCUUAAGACAUGCAAGUGAUGCAACUAUUAUUGUAAUUGGAAUCAUAUAACUACUAGAUGAAUAAUACAAAAAGAUAAUAUUGAUUUGUGGAAGCUUAUUCAGUUUUUAUUCAUGUUUAUUCCAAAUUUCUUGAUCCCUUCCAUGUCUUGUACCAAUCUACCUUCCUGCUUUUGCUUGCUGAUUCCCUGUUUAACAUUCAUGUACAACAAUCAAAGAACAUCUCCAAUGGUGGUGUAAAAUUGGUAUAUUCAAAACCACAAUUACAUCCUCAAUUUUAUUUUGGUGGAUCUAAAUCCAAGUUUUGCUCUAAUAGAAAUAUUUAAAUCCACUUUUUGCCUCUUGUGGAUGUUAAAAAAAAUUAAUGUAAAUUUACACCUUUUUCUGUCAGAAAAUGCAAUUUGUAUCUCCUUUGCAUCUUUCCAAUGAAGAGGUUUUCGGCCACUUUGGAGAUCUAAAUCUCUAUUUUACACUACUAUUAGAGAUGUUCUAAUGAAUCUAAAUAAGGCACAUGAAUUUUGACUACUUGAUUCUAUGGGCAGCUUGGUGUUCUCCCUAUCUUUUGCUUUUGUAAUUGGCAACAUACCAUAUUCUUUAUGAAUGAAAUGCAAGACUUCGAUUUUUUUUAAUGGUAUCAAUUUCAUUUCCUCGGUGACAAGUGGCGAGGAGGAUACAUCACUCGUGCGUAGCUUCACAGAUGGAUUGCCUGCUCUUAUCUACAAAAAGGAUGAAAUGUUACCAGUAACGCCUUGGUGGAGAAUGGGUCUAGUUCCCCGUCUGCUCAAUCCAGGCUGCAAGCAGUAGAAAAAAAUGGUAAUAGAUUGUUGAAUUUUAACAAAGCUUGAGAAAUUGAACGCAAGUUAGCUGUAUUAGCUAGACAUAUUUUUCAAAUAUUCUAUUUCAUUAUUUCAAGAACUUUGAUAAAUUGUGCCCGGUUUAUUGGAUACGGUCACGAUGGGUUUUGGCUGGAGCAAAAAAUCAACUUUCUUGGAGUGUUUGCUUACACUAUGAGGUGUUUUGUAUUCUUCUAUAUCUCGAGUAUUCAUGGAACGUGAGAAGGUUCGAU
rnacentral:lncRNA from 1 species